rnacentral:rRNA from 1 species
GACGAACGCUGGCGGCGUGCUUAACACAUGCAAGUCGAACGGAACGGCCCUGCUUUUGUGGGGUGUUCGUGUGGCGAACGGGUGAGUGACACGUGAGUAACCUGCCCUUGACUUUGGGAUAACUUCAGGAAACUGGGGCUAUUACCGGAUAGGAGCUCCUGCUGCAUGGUGGGGGUUGGAAAGUUUGGGCGGUUGGGGUUGGAAUCGCGGCUUGUCCGCUUGGUGGUGUGGUAGGGGCACUCCAAGGCUUGGACGGGUAGCCUGCCUGGGAGGGUGGCCGGCCAGAUUGGGACUGAAAUACGACACGGACUCCUACGGGAGGCAGCGGUGGGGAAGAGGGUACAACAGGCGGAAGCCUGAUGCAGCAACGCCACGUGCGGGAGAACGGCAUGCGGUUUGUAAACCGAUUUCGCCUGGGACGAAGCGUGAGUGACGGUAAUGAAUAAAGAAGCACCGGCUAACUACGUG